rnacentral:rRNA from 1 species
UGCAAGUCGAACGAUGAAGCCCAGCUUGCUGGGUGGAUUAGUGGCGAACGGGUGAGUAACACGUGAGUAACCUGCCCUUAACUCUGGGAUAAGCCUGGGAAACUGGGUCUAAUACCGGAUAGGAGCGUCCACCGCAUGGUGGGUGUUGGAAAGAUUUAUCGGUUUUGGAUGGACUCGCGGCCUAUCAGCUUGUUGGUGAGGUAAUGGCUCACCAAGGCGACGACGGGUAGCCGGCCUGAGAGGGUGACCGGCUACACUGGGACUGAGACACGGCCCAGACACCUACGGGAGGCAGCAGUGGGGAAUAUUGCACAAUGGGCGCAAGCCUGAUGCAGCGACGCCGCGUGAGGGAUGACGGCCUUCGGGUUGUAAACCUCUUUCAGUAGGGAAGAAGCGAAAGUGACGGUACCUGCAGAAGAAGCACCGGCUAACUACGUGCCAGCAGCCGCGGUAAUACGUAGGGUGCGAGCGUUAUCCGGAAUUAUUGGGCGUAAAGAGCUCGUAGGCGGUUUGUCGCGUCUGUCGUGAAAGUCCGGGGCUUAACCCCGGAUCUGCGGUGGGUACGGGCAGACUAGAGUGCAGUAGGGGAGACUGGAAUUCCUGGUGUAGCGGUGGAAUGCGCAGAUAUCAGGAGGAACACCGAUGGCGAAGGCAGGUCUCUGGGCUGUAACUGACGCUGAGGAGCGAAAGCAUGGGGAGCGAACAGGAUUAGAUACCCUGGUAGUCCAUGCCGUAAACGUUGGGCACUAGGUGUGGGGACCAUUCCACGGUUUCCGCGCCGCAGCUAACGCAUUAAGUGCCCCGCCUGGGGAGUACGGCCGCAAGGCUAAAACUCAAAGGAAUUGACGGGGGCCCGCACAAGCGGCGGAGCAUGCGGAUUAAUUCGAUGCAACGCGAAGAACCUUACCAAGGCUUGACAUGUUCUCGAUCGCCGUAGAGAUACGGUUUCCUCUUUGGGGCGG